UUGUUGUUCAAUUGCUCAGACAUGUCUGACUCUUUGAAACCCCACGGACUGCAACAUACCAGGCUUCCCUGUUCUUUACCAUCUCCAGAAUUUACUGAAAUUCAUGCCCAUUGAAUUUGUGAUGCCAUCCAACCAUCACAUCC